UGUUUUUGAGGUGUGAGCACUACAGAGUUUUUCGAUGUUUACCCCAGAUAUUAAUUUUUCUCCUCUGAACAACAACGAAAACAUCGCUGCAGGUAUUAACUGGGCGGGCUGUGGCCCGUCUAGCCCUAGCCAGAUAUCUAGCCCAGAUAUUAAUUUUUUUCAAGCUGAAAAUGGCUAUCCCAACUAUACUUUUUUUUAGGAAUACCCAGGCAAGGUCAAGUUGUUAUUCUCCGCCCCGCUGGGCUGCAAGUCUUUCCUACGAGGGAUGCAUUAGGCUUAACAAGAAAAUGGGCUUGAAGAAAUAAUAAAUGGGAUAUAAUUAUAAAAACUGGGUAGUAACUAUAAAAAAUGCACCAAACAGUGAUUACUUUAUAAAAUACUAUUUUUGGAAUAUUGAAAUUUUUAAUUUCAUUAAUUGUUGCGAGCGCAAUGUUUCGUUGGAUUUUUACCCAAUAUAAAUUUAUAUUGAAAUUGAAUUUAAUCUGACUAGAAAUUUUGGGAUAAAAAUAUUCGGAACCCAUCAAAAUGUGGGAAAUUUUAUUGAAUUCUGUUUUGAACGGUUGGUUGAAAUGGGUUGUACUUUUAACAAACUGUAAAUGGGUUGUAGUAAAUUCCAUUAGAAUUCAAAAAUGGGAUACACAUUCUUACAAAUCUCAAAUGGGCUAUAAGUUCUCUGCCACACACUUCUGGCCUUACUAAGUUGACGCGUCCCCUAAAAAAACAGAGUUGACGCAUAUGCAAGGCUUUGUCAACUUAUAGACAACACACGGUUCUAGCAGCAAUGGCCGUUGGAUGUCCAUCCAACGGAUGUCGUGCUUCUUCUUCAAUCUCGGAUAUUCUAGCUUCACCCGCCCAAAAAAUGAUUCAUCCCCCUGACAUCUGGGGCGCACCGUUUCGGAAGCUGACCUGUGGGCCUACUAAGUUGACGUACCAAGGGCUUUGUCAACUUAGUCAAUAUAAACGAUUCUACCUGCAGUGACCGUACGAUGUCCAUCCAACAGUCGUCGUGCUUCUUCAACCUCUGGUCUUCUUGCUCCAGCCGCCCAAAGCAGCGCCGAUCAUGCCGCCUGCUCCUGCCUCCCGUGGCCGUCUGUGCUGCCGUGGAGGCCUCACCGCCCCCUACUACUCCCACCACUGGCCAGGCCGUCCCUCCACUCACUCACACCCCCUGUUAUUCUGCGGCGACGGCAGCACAGCCGAACUAGUGAACCCUCGUACUGCUCUCCGCGUGUGCAUCCACUGCCGCGUCUUCCCCGGAUCCGCGUCGUCCCCUUCCUAGGCCUCGCCGUCGUCCACCGCCGUGGUGCUCUCGGUGCGGCGUGGUCAACGUGGUCAAGGAACGACUUCCAUCGGACGUGGACUGUACGUGGAGAGGCUGACAGCUCGGUCCACGCCAGCUGCAUGGAAGUGCCUCCUUAUUACGCGCAAAAUAAUUAUUCCUCCACCUGACAGCGGGGACGCACCGGACGGGCCACCGUAUUUCGCAAAAAAAAUGAUUCGCCCCCUGACUGCUGGGACCCACGAGCUACAUCUUCGCACGCAAGGAAGUGCGCCCGAAAAAAAAUGAUUCGCCCCCUGACUGCUGGGACCCACCAGCUACAUCUUCGCACGCAAGGAAGUGCGUCCGAAAAAAAUAAUUCGCCCCCCGACUNNNNNNNNNNNNNNNNNNNNNNNNNNNNNNNNNNNNNNNNNNNNNNNNNNNNNNNNNNNNNNNNNNNNNNNNNNNNNNNNNNNNNNNNNNNNNNNNNNNNNNNNNNNNNNNNNNNNNNNNNNNNNNNNNNNNNACCAGCUACACCUUUGCAUGCAAGGAAGUGCGUCCGGGCAAAAAAAAUGAUUCGCCCCCCUGACUGCUGGGACCCAGCAGCUACACCUUCGCACGCAAGGAAGUGCGUCCGGGCAAAAAAAACGAUUCGCCCCCUGACUGCUGGGACCCAGCAGCUACACCUUCGCACGCAAGGAAGUGCGUUCGGGCAAAAAAACGAUUUGCCCCCCUGACUGUUGGGACCCACCAGCUACAUCUUCGCAGGCAAGGAAGUGCCUGACAGUCGGGACCCACCUGGUCGAAGCGUACGUAGCGUUGUCAUCCUGGUCGCGAACAUGUAUGUACAUACUGGUCGAUGUAGAGGCGCACACGUGUCAUAGUAGAGGCGCACACGUGUCGUAGUAGAGGCGCGCACGUAGCAUGUACACGUACGUACAGCAGCCAGGGUGCAAGAAAGAAAAUAUGGCCAUGUAUGUGUACAUACGGGCGGGGUCUCGAACGCCUAGUCGCGCAUACGUAUGGCGAGGGCUCAUGUUCAUGGGGAGGCAACAGAAUGCGUCGUGUUCAUGGGGAGGCAACAGAAUGCGUCGUGUUCAUGGGGAGGCAACGGAAUGCGUCGUGUUCAUCGGGAGGUAAUGGAAUGCGUGGGAGCCAACCGGCUUGGACGGAACAAGCGAUGGAAACGAGGCCUGGCAUACCGCACAACAGAGGAAAUGUACCUCCAACGUUUGGAGCAGAGUCCUGUUCAUCGGGAGGGGUGUGGCGUACCGCAAAACGGAGGAAACGGACCUCCUACAGUCGAAACAGGGGUCUUGUUGAUCGGGAGGGGUGUGGCGUACCGCAAAACGGACAAAAUGGACCUCCUACGGUCGAAACGGGGGUCCUGUUGAUCGGGAGGGGUGUGGCGUACCGCAAAACAGACGAAACAGACUUGUGUCGGANNNNNNNNNNNNNNNNNNNNNNNNNNNNNNNNNNNNNNNNNNNNNNNNNNNNNNNNNNNNNNNNNNNNNNNNNNNNNNNNNNNNNNNNNNNNNNNNNNNNNNNNNNNNNNNNNNNNNNNNNNNNNNNNNNNNNNNNNNNNNNNNNNNNNNNNNNNNNNNNNNNNNNNNNNNNNNNNNNNNNNNNNNNNNNNNNNNNNNNNNNNNNNNNNNNNNNNNNNNNNNNNNNNNNNNNNNNNNNNNNNNNNNNNNNNNNNNNNNNNNNNNNNNNCUUGUGUCGGAGCGCUAUGGUCGAAACGGGGGUCUUGUUCAUCGGGAGGGGUGUGGCGUACCUCAAAACGGGACUCCACGGGCUACUGUUCAUCUCCACCGUCGACCUCCUCCAGCCUCCACGGGCUACCGUCGACCUCCUCCAGCCCCCACGGGCUCCAGUUCAUCUAGCCUCCACCGCGCGCUACUCCACCGGCUACUAUUCAACCACCCCUCCACCGUCUACUGUUCAUCCAGUCCUCCACCAUCUACUGUUCAUCCAGCCCUCCACACCACGGGGGCCUGUUCAACCACCCCUCCACGACCACCCUUCCAUCGUCUACUGUUCAUCCAGCCCUCCACACCACGGGGUCCUGUUCAUCCAGAGGCAACGCCACCGCUCACUGUUCAUCCAACCCCCCCGGCAACGCUCACUGUUCAUCCAAUCGAUCGGCUUCAGUUAGCAGCAGUAGCGAAGGAAUCGCUCCAUCAGGUUCAGUUAACAACCAUCGAUCGAUCGCUCGGGUUCAGUAACGCAUAGCCUGUAGUGCAAUCGUUCGGGUUCAGUUAGAGCCCAACGCCUCACUCGGGUUCAGUUAGAGCCAAUGCCUCGCACGUGUAUGAGAGAAAUGUGCAUCGCUCGGCCCCCGACCUCCCACCGUAACUAGCAACUCCCCGAAAUUUUCCUCCCCCUCGCUUCUACCACGGUUUUUUCCGUCAUGGACGGCCCAAAGAAUGUCAUGCAGCUGCGUCUCCGGCCCACCCAGGACGAAAAGCCAAUUUUCUGUCAUGAUUUUUUGUCAUCUCCACUCCUAAUGCAGCAGUUGGUAGUCUCCACCGGUCAAUUUUCGUCCCACCACUUUCGUCCGUUUUUUUCUGUAGGUUAACCUUCGUAGAUUUUUUCUCGCCCACCUCCGACCAUCCCGUGCAAGACCAAAAAAAACAUACGCCACCAUCCGUCUCUCGAUCCACCCGAUGCGGCCGCCCUAUCUCCCUCGUCUAGCGAUGCAGCGCCGCCCCAAUCUCCCUGCUCCGCUGCCGCCGCCCCAAUCUUCCCGCUCCGCCGCCACCGCCCCAAUCUCCCCACUCCACCGUUGUCGCCCCCCACCUUCCACUAUCACCCGCUCAGCCACCUCCACCCUCCUCUACAUCGCCCGAGGAACGGGCUCACCUGGCGCGCCGCCUCGAGGCCGCGCUCGAGCAGGUGAGGAGGGAGUCGGUGCGGCAGGGCGCGGCGCUGGACGAGCUGAGGCGGCGGCUCGAGGGACGGCGGGCGCGCGCGGACGAGCUCCUCGUCACCAGGCGGAGGGCCGCCGAGGGCGUCGAGCGCUGCAAGGAGCAGAUGCAGGCGCAGAUCGAGCGGGUGCUGCCACUCUCCAGGGCCCUCGCCGCCGCACACCGGCAAGUGCAGGUACCUGCUUGCCCGCCCAUUUCUUCCUCUCAGCGCGAGACUGGAAUGCUUUGGCUAUUGUGGUUGCGUGCGUUUGGUCCAAUAGCAUCUGUGUAUGUGUUGCGCUGUGUGCGUGUGUGCUCUGCAUAUGGAGUGGAUCUAGCAGUGGCCGCGUCCUGCAUCGAAGAUGCGGCUAGGAAUUAGAGAGAUGGGAGAGAGGAGGAAGGGACCGGGGAUGGGCCCAGCGAUGCGGCGACGCUUGCGGAGGCUGGCUGGCGGCUGAGUCACACGGCAACGGCGACGUGCGUGUGGCAUCCUCCCUGGUGGGGCGAGUAGGAAGGAGGAGGUGCACGGGAGGCGUAGGCGCUGUGGCCUAUCUACAGGUUAGUUAAUCUUUGUUGUUAUUAUCCUUAGUGUGAUUUCUACUAACUAUUUCUCUACUCUAUUCUCUGGGCUUGAAGAGGUGGACUACAGUAAUAGGGGAACUGGAACAAGCGCCGGAAGCGGCCAUGAACAUAGAUGCACAGUUCUGCGAGGAAGAAACCAGGGUGUACAGAGGAAGGGAGAUCUCACCCAGGUCUCCGAGCUAUUGACUGGGAAGAUGAACCCCGGGCAGCCAGGCUGGACUAGUUUAAAAGUAACCCGUAAAACUUACUGAUUUUAAUUCACUUGGUACACGUCAUCAGUGAUUCAGUACGUGAUAUCUGUAUUGAGUGUACUAGCAGUCUACAGAUAGAUUUGCGUCUGUAUGCUGAGCUUUUUCUGAGGAUAAUGAUUUUUUGAUUGAAUCCAAUAUAAGGUAACUAAUAGAAAUACAAUAGUACUACUAAUGACAGUCUCACUGUUGGGAAGUUUUUUGAUGGAUAUUUAGUCGAGGCAGCUAUUUCUACCAUGGAAUAAUUGCAAUUUAGCUAUGUGACGCCGAUGAAUUAUAUAAAGUUUAUAAAUGCAUGUAUGUCGAUUUAAUUUAACGGACAUGGUCUUUUAUGUUGAUUUCAGUUGAGCAGUAGGAAACAUUUGUGCAGAGUAAGGAUUGCAUCAGCGGCACCAUGCCCUUCUCGGGCGAAAACUCUUGAUAAAGCGAUAAGGGGAUUCGCUGACUAUCCAAUACAUAAUGUGAUUGUACCGGUGCUGGGGACAAGUUUUGACUCUUUAUGAGAGAGACGUGUGGUUUUUACAACCUAUUCUCUUGGGAGAAAGGUUUUGGGAUCAGAUAUUGGAAAAGCAGGUCAAUUGUUGAGAGGACAAAAUUUAAUUAUGAAAUAGUGUGUCGAUAUGUAGUGAGUUUUAUUUCAUUGCGACAUAUUUUAGUUUUUGGACAGUGUGGGGGGGUGUGUGAGUUGAGCACUGAGAAGCAUUUUUUCCCAUGUUGACAACGUGCAGGGUGAAGCAGGUGUGUAGAACACACGAUCUUGCCGAUGUGAGUACCCUGCUCUAAUAAAUUGCUUAGAUCAGAGCACAGGGGUUAAGAAGUACAUGAGACUGCGGUUUGAUAGUGAGUCUGAGGAGAACUAUGUCGAGGAGAUGACAAGAAUUGUACGCUGAUUUUUUAUGAAAGAAAUACAUACUUGUUGUUGCGUGUGGAUGUCAUUUUUAUUAGUAGAACUAUUGAGUUUUACUAAAUGAUUUGCAUCUAACUGUUAUAGGGAAGACCACUAAUGAGAGCUAACCUGGCCACUUGAAUGGGAUGCGAUCAAGACAUACACAAGGGCUAUGUUUGACGAAAAUUGGCUCUUGUAUGAGUGUGGAGCAUACCAAAGUUGAAGAGAUUGAGAAACACAAGUCGUGUCCUGAAGGUAUGAUCUUGUGCGUUUUGCUCACUGUUUAUGUGUAUGCAGCAGAAUAUAUCAGUUUGUGUGAGAGAGUGAACUUACUUUAGUGAUAAAUAAUGGCAGGUGCUCGACUUCAUACAUGUGAAGCAAGUCCGUAUGAAGAAUAUAAUGAAGAGGUGGACAAAGGAUGCUCACAACAUAGGAACCAUUGGCAUAUAAUCCCUUCUCCUACAUGCACUUCAGAAUGUGCAUAGAGCUUGUUCAGCUUGGGGACGCAAAUUUUCAUAUGUACGAUUGUCUGGUUUAUUUGUUGAAGGCAAAUUUGGUGGACAUGAAACCUUUUGCCAAGGUGAGAGAUGGGCUUGGUUUGGAAGACCGGCUUGCUGAAAAUGGAGUAGUUGUCAAGCUGUUGAGAAUAAUACAUAGUAUGUGUAGAUCGCAAAACUCAAGAGCAUCCGGCAAAUUCUGGUAGUGGUGACAAUGUUUCAGUAAUAUACCAGACAACAGGUUAGCAUAACCAUCAGCGCCAGGCUGCCAGCUACAAGGAAAUAGAUUGAUUGGCCAUUGACCAGCAGGGAGAAAGCCCCUUAGGAAGCUUUCAGUAAGAGGACAGUUUUCUACAGCAUUUGCUGCCGCCAUGGUCACAAAAGGACUACAUGGACAGACAGAGGUGAUGCUCCAAAACAUCUUGCAAACCAGGCAGGUGCAAUAGCUAUGGCGUCGAGGGACACAAAAGGAAUUUUUUUACCAAGCCCAUAGAAUUUAGAUUGUCAGCGGAAACUAAAAUGAGUGCAAAUUAUGAGACCCUUUUUUGGUUAGUAGUUAGUGUUACUUUAUCAAUACUCAAGUCAAGAUUCUUUCUGAUGGUGACCAUGGGAUCGAGAGAACUCUUUAGGUGACGGAGAAGUUUGAUAUGAGCCUCUAAGGUAUUCUUCUACCUAGCCGAAAAUGAUGGUCUUUUAGAGGUUAUCCUGGCGGAUCAUAGGAAUAUUUAUUUUGCUUUCUUUUUUAAUUUUACAGGUUGACGAUUCUAAUGUUAUUGGAUUUCUGCUUCCAACUGAAAUAAUUCCUUUAUAUCUGAGUACUAUUACUAUGGAGAUUGGCUGUGAACUUACCAUAAUAGUAUGAACUCCUUCUCUGAAUUUAAUUCUUCUAUGAUGCUUUCCAAAGCCGAUGAUGACCAUGCUGUGGACCCACAUGGUGGAGGAAGGGGAUGCCCGAGACUGAGACGAUGACGGUGCUCGCGACGCACAGCUGCGGGACUGGACAACAGAGCCAAACACUCCCUUGGAUUUGUCGUGAUUCUAGAACAGGAGGCAGGUCGUUGCAGGUCGUUGCCGCUACCGCCCAUGAAGUUGACGAUGAUCACGUGGCUGUCGUGCGGCGGCGAGGUGGUGGUUGUGGAGGGGAAGAGGGAGGCGAGGGGAGACGCGCGGGCGAAAACUCGCACGGCGGAGGAAGGGGAUGCCUCAGGUGGUGACGGUCAUGACGGGCACUAGAUUGUCAUAUGUUAUUUGCAUAUAAAUGAUACAGGGGACCCUGGUGAGUUGUUUAGAUUUCUCUGGUGAGUUGUUUAGAUUUCUCCCCGCUCAUGUCUGAAUGGUCGGUUUAGUUCCUGAAUUGUAGCUUCCCAGGUAUGUUGGGCAAUUCACAGUUGUACACGUUUGAUAGUGUAUUGAUGCCCUGACAACUAUGUAACGAGUGCAUGUUGUUCAAGUGCUGAUCUUCACUGAUUUUUUUCUGUUACCAUUUGUCAUGUAGGAAUUCUUCAUUUUGUAAUUUGGAGUAGUGAACGAAAUUUCUAGGGAAUCACAUGCACUAUUUUUGUAGCUUGAAUAAUUCGCUAUGUUCUAAUUUGAAAAUAUGUUGGCCAAUCGUUUGAUAUGCUGUCUGUUGCAUAUUGUUCGAAGAUGGGUUGCAUCUCUUUCUAAACUGCAAACAAGUGAAGGGCAAUGGUAUGCCUUGCUGCUGGAGGAAAUCCGGAACAAGCUAACACAGUGGUGGCGCCAGGUGUCUUCCAUGGACUUCCAUGGGAUACCAAAGAAUUGCUAAUCCAUUGGUAUACUACUGCUAGUUUGUUGUAUAUUUGUUGAUAUAUUGCUAUAAAAUUGCACAAAUGAAUACCAAGGAAGAAAUUCCUGGCGCUGCCACUGAGCUAACAGAGUGUAAUUCAGCGGAUGACAUCAUGAGAAAAAUUCUGAGGUUGUGGAGAAGGAUAAGUUGCUCACUAUUUGCUCAAUUGUGGUGCUCGUGGCAUGAACGUAACAAGGUGAACCAUGGAGAACGACGGUGCAAGAAUUUCAGGUCAAUGUCAGGCGACAUGUGGAUGAGUGGCUUGAGUUCCUGAAACCCAAAGAAGCUGCUGCUACUACUACAUAUGUAGAAGUUGGGUGAAACCGUCACAAGAGUUUGUGAAGAUAAACAUUGAUGCGUCCUUUAUUGAGGACACCAGGGCAGGGGGUGUGGGAUUAUAUGCAGGGAUGGCACUCCAACGACUUUGUUUGCGGCGGCUGGACAUAUAAACUCUCUGAGUGAUGCACUGCAUGCUGAAGUAUAUGUGUUUAUAUGUUCACUUUAGAUCUUCAGAUGCUGCUUUCAAAAUGUUGAUUGACAAAGCUUCAUAAUAUACUGGACCCAAAACUCGUCGAGUUUUACAAAAUGAGAAGAGAUGCAUACAAAUAAUUAUUCUUCUUUAUAUAUUUCUUGCACAUGAUAAUACAAAUAGUGUAUUUCUAUAUAUUUCUAUUUUUGCGGAGUAUGAGAAGGAAUCCAUUAAUAAGAAUGUCGAGGAGAUGUCGUUGAAAGAGCCAAAAAAAUCAUCGAGUUUUAUACAACAAUACAUAUACACACACAAUCAGAACAAAAUUAAAGGCCCGUGGCAACGCACGGGCAUUCUACUAGACUACGCAUCACGAAGUGGAUUUCAAAAGAAAAUCUUAUGGGCUAUCAUUUUUAUACACACGACAUUUGACAUGCAUUAUGUUCAUAUAUGCAACCAACAGUUUUUGCAUUCGGUGUGUUUAUUAUUUUUUUGUACAUGACAAUGCACAAGCAUUGAACUAACUGUAUGAAAGGAAACCAUUUCAAUUCCCCGUUUCCAAGAACAAGGAAUUCUUAUGUAUUGGAACACAUACGCUUGGAGGACUUUACGGGGAGAGAGCGACAAUAUUACUCGAAUACGGAUGUGCCAAUUGCAAAGACUUUACGGUGAUAUAGAAGCAUUCCUCUGUUUGUUAACUCAUAUUCAGACUCUCUAAUAUAUGCAGGCAGUAUGAUCAAUAACUGUCAAAGAGUAAUAUGACGUUCUCAAAUUGCCAAGAUAUGCAGGAGACUUUGUAACAAAAGCUGCAAUCUCUAUGUAGCUAUUUACUUCACUUAAUGAAUUCACUUCAUGACAGGACAUGGUGUGUCGUGCAAGAUUGUUGUUUAAUUUAUUUACCUUGCUUUGUGGAUUGAUGUAGUGUGAACAGUUAAUUCAAAAAAACUUUAUCACAAAUGAGAAAUAAGAUUGCUUUUCUUUAGCUUAAUACAUGUGUCUACUUCCUAAUAUCAAAUUAGACUUUAGUGUUAUUUUAUUCCAAUGAAGAAACAUGACCCUGCCCCAUUGAACUUCAUGUCCUACGGUCAAGAUGGAGACUUUGUUCUCUCUUCAUUUGGACUGUCUCAUAUAGAAGAAAUUGCAGCAUUGUGAUAUCAAAUAAUUAUCCACUAAUUGAUCAAUGGAAUUGCUGAAGUGUAUGAUAGAUCUGCAAUUUAAAUUAUGCAUUAUAGCCCAUAGCAACACACGGGCGUUCUACUAGUAGAAGUAGGAGCCCACCACAUCUAUGAUGAUACCGGGUUUUGUCACAAUUAUCGUCAUAGAAGUGUCAUAUGUAUGACAGGAAAAAAUUUCGUUUGGCCCAAAAUGUCACGGAUGUGUCUUUUUUUUGUAGUGAUCUAGAUUGUUAUCUCCUGUGCCAGCAUCGCUAUUUUUGCUAUGGCGGGGCUUGGAGCGGCGCCGAUGACGCCGGUGUCUGGAUUGCUUCCCCAAGGGGUUAUCUUCCAUUGCCUCAUCACCAUUGUUUUGUUUGGGGGUGUCCACCAUAUAAAUAUCAUAUGAUGAGGUGGCGGUCCAGCGCCCUGUAGGCGGUGGUUCCUGUUCUUCUCCUGCAUCGUUGUCCAUGCCGUCGAUGUCUUCGGAGUCGAAGUCAAGCACGUCGGUUAAAUCAUCGACAUUGGCUAUAAAGUGGGUGGUGGGUGGGGGACAAAUUUCUUCGUCGUCCGCUCCCCACUCGAGCCGGACAUAGUUCGACCAAGAAUCUCCUGACAAGGACAGAGACCUUAAUGAGUUCAGCACGUCACCCAAGGGUGAGUAGUGAAAAAUAUCCGUGGCGGUGAACUCCAUGACAGGUGCCCAAUCUGAUUCUAUAUGCGCGGACGCACGCGGUUCGGAUCCUGCAACCGGGGAAGAGCCCGGGGGUCCGAUGACACCAACCUCACAGGAGGCGGGUUCGGUGUUCGACUCCGCCGCUGAUGAGUGUGCGGCCUCCGUGGCGGGGUCCAUCCACCCAUCCUCAGAAGGCACGAUCUGCUCCGGGUUGAUUCCCGGCGCCAAUGCGGGUGCGAUUUCCCGAAUACUGUCUGAUGGCAGAUCAAAGUCAUGCCCGUUGUGACUGUUCGGCACACCUGUCAUGGGCUCGAAUUCGUCGAAGAUCAAGUCUCCGCGGAUGUCGACAGUAUAGUUUAAGCUUCCAAACCUAACCUGAUGGCCAAGGGCGUAGCUGCCGAUCUGCUCCAGAUGGCCAAGCGAGUUGGCCCACAGUACGAAGCUGCCAAAUACGAAGAUCUGUCCAGGAAGGAAAACCUCCCCCCUGGACCGCAUCAUUGAAGAUGAUCGAGGGAGCCAUCAAGCCUUAUCGCGAUGGCACAGUGGAACUCUCAAUGAAAGCACCAAUGUCAGUGUCAAAACCGGCGGAUCUCGGGUAGGGGGUCCCGAACUGUGCGUCUAAGGCUAAUGGUAACAGGAGGCAGGGGACACGAUGUUUUACCUAGGUUCGGGCCCUCUCGAUGGUGGUAAUACCCUACUUCCUGCUUGAUUGAUCUUGAUGAUAUGAGUAUUACAAGAGUUGAUCCACCACGAGAUCAUAGAGGCUAAACCCUAGAAGCUAGCCUAUGAUUAUGAUUGUUAUUGUCCUACGGACUAAACCCUCUGGUUUAUAUAGACACCAGAGGAGGCUAGGGUUACACAGAGUCGGUUACAGAAAAGGAGAUCUACAUAUCCGAAUAUCCAAGCUUACCUUCCACGCAAAGGAGAGUUCCAUCCGGACACGGGACAAAGUCUUCAAUCUUGUAUCUUCAUAGUCCAACAGUCCGGCCAAAGUAUAUAGUCCGGCUGUCCGAGGACCCCUUAAUUCAGGACUACCUCAGUGGCUCCUUCUUGUGAAACACGAUAAUUCUUUCUCCCUCUCCAAAUAUGUGUUUUAUAGUAUCAUGAUUGGAGUGUGCGGGCCACCAGGUGGGGACAACCCACCUGGGCGCACCUAGAGGGGGGCGCGCCCUGGUGGGUAGUGCCCACCCAGGUGCCACCUCCGGUGGUGCUUGACUCCAGAAAUUCUCUCUUAUUGCAUUAAAAUUCCUCGCAAAGUUUUGUUCCAAUCCGAGAACUUUUAUUUCUGCACAAAAAACAACACCAUGGUAGUUCUGCUGAAAACAGCGUCAGUCCGAGUUAGUUUCAUUCAAAUCGUGCAAAUUAGAGUCCAAAACAAGAGAAAAGGCAUUAGGAAAAGUAGAUACGACAGAGACGUAUCAACUCCCCAAGCUUAAACAUUUGCUUGUCCUCAAGCAAUUCAAUUGAUAAACUGAAAGUGAAAAAGAAAAACUUUUAUGAACUCUUUUGCUCUUGUUUACAUAAAUAAGCAUAGGUAGCACCCUGGUUUUCGGAAAAUAUUAUAACUAACCAUGUCGACAAUAACUCCUAAAAAUUAUAUUAACUCAUAUCAAUGGCAUAAUCAACUAGCGAGCAAUAAUAAGAUAUCUCAAAGAACAACACUUUGUCAAAACAACCAUGAUAUAAUAUGAGAAUAGUGGUAUCUCGCUAGCCCAUUCUGAGACUGCAAAACACAAAUGCAAAGCACCCCCAAAGUUCAAGAAGCGACUAAACAUUGUAAUCCUGGGUAGAAAAGAUCCAACCAUGAUGCACCCAACAUUAGUUAUACACAAUGCAUGAGGAUGAAAAUAGUGCUCUCAGGUUCUGGCGCUUAUUAUAGAAGGUGAUGACACAACAUAAAAGUAAAUAGAUAGUCCCUUCGCAGAGGGAAGCAGUGAUUUGUAGAGGUGCCAGAGCUCAAGUUUUUUAAAACAAAGGUAAAUGAAAUUUUGAGAAAUGCACCCUUCUUGUUUACUUCGCGACCAUUAGUUAUCAGUAUCUUCCAUUCUAAACACAUUAGUGGCGGUUCCCAAGAAAUAAAAGUAAAGGUUUACUCCCCUUCCACCAACAAUCACACUCCACGGCUUGUCCGAAACAACGGGUGUCUUCCAUACCAACAACUGUCCUGCAGGAGUUUUGUUUAAUUAUUUGCAAUUUGAGUUCGGGACUGGGAAUCCCUAUUACCGCCCCUCUCGUGCAAGGACGAGUGAAUAAACACUCAUCAUGAGAAUAACCCGCUUAGCAUGGAAGAUACUGACUACCUCAUGUCGCUCUAUGAAUAAUCCAAGCACACAAAAAGGAUAUUUAUUUGAAGUUUUUUAGAGGUGGCACAUGCAAAUUUACUUAGGACGGCAGGGUAAUACCGCAUAUAGGUAGGUAUGGUGGACUCAUCUGGAAUAACUUGGGUUUCAUGGUUUUGAUGCACAAGCAGAAUUCCCACUUAGUACAGGAGAAGGCUAGCAAAUGGGUUGAGGAGCGGCCAGCUAGAGAGCAAAAACGGUCAUGAACAUGCAUUAUGCAUAAGUAACAUUGGAUACUAGCAUGAGUAGGAUAUGAACACCAUGAACAUAAAUAUCAUAGAGGCUAUGUUGGUUUUGAUUCAACUACAUGCAUGAACAUGUGCCAAGUCAAGCCACUCAAACAUUCAGAGGAGGAUACCAUACCAUCAUACUACAUCACAAUCAUUCUAACGCAAUGUUGACAUCCAAGAUAAAUCAUUAUCUACUCCUAGCUACUUAAGCAUGGCAUGAGAAACUAUAAUCUCUAAGGGCAUUGCAAACAUGUUUGAUAAUAAUAAGCUGAAUCAUGGAUACUAGGUUAAACAUAUUUACAAAAACAGAACAAGUUGAGUUUGUACCCGUUUCUCUCUACCACAGUCAGUUCAUCAAAUAUCGUCAUUAUUGCCUUUCACUUGCACGACCAAACGAUAUGAAAGUAAUAAUAGUGCAAGAGUGUCAUGGACUAAGCUGGAAUCUGUUGGAUUUCAGGCUCCGCAGACCCAAGAAAGGUUCGAACUCUACGGCGUGUGUGAAGAACUCAACCUCCCAGGCUAGCCAACUCGCUGCUCUCAUGGCCUCUCUCGAUGAACAGGAAAGGAAAUGAGCACAACAGUUUACCCAGGUUCGGGCCACCAUGCGGUGUAAAACCCUACUCCUGCUUUGUGGUGGAUUAGCCUCGUGGGGGCUGAGUAUGAACUAGUACAAGGCUGAACGACCUCGUGAGGUCUGCUCUAUGGGUGGAAUGAGCUCAAGGAGUUUGACCUCUGGGGGUCCGAUCCCUCCUAUGGUGGUGGCUAGACUAUACUUAUAGUGGCCUCGGUCCUCUUCCCCCAAAACUUAGGCGGGAAGGGAUCCCAUAGUGGCCAAUUUUGAAGGGGAACAAGUAGUACAUCUUAUCCUGACAAAAGGUGGUCUUUGCCUGCAAAGCUUCUGGUCGUGACGUAAUGGUGGGCUCGAUGAUGACAUCCAUCCUGUCAUUCUGGCGGUCGUGGUCUUGUUGCACGCAAACGGUAACCUUUGGUUGAUUCCUUGGGACUCUACGCCGGCGGUUGCCUCCUUAGAACCAAAGAGGAAACCUGCCACUCUGCGCCCACUAGCGUGCGCCUGGCCUUGGUCAUCAUGGCUGGCGUCACCUCAGCCUCAUGAGGUGAGUGCUUGCAUAGAAAUAUCCGCUCCUCAGGAGGUCGCCUGGGGAAGCCGCUCCUUCACGAGGUCUUGGUGUCGUCCGCCUCGUGAGGCUUGGUCACUCGCGAGGGUCUUGACUUGUCGUUGUUGAAGAUGGGCCAUACCAGGCCGCCAAGGGAGCCACGCCAGGGGCCGCAGGCAGGCAAGUUUGCGUACCCUGGUUCCCAGAACACCGACAGAAUAUGCAAACAUUUUAUUCAAAAAGAAGAAAACAAGGUAAUAUGUGCUCUUUGUUAGAUCAAUAAUAAUGCAUAUGAGAGUCAUAUUUUUCAUCUUGGUAUUCUCCUUGGUACAACUCAAUAAAAAGAAAAGAAAUUCAGAGAAACACAUUGAAAUGUUUUUGGAGUUUUUGGUUUUUAUCUGAGAAGAAACAAAUUAAGGAAAGAAAAACAAAAACGAGAAAAACUAUUUACACGGGAGAGCUGCCAACAAGCAAAAGAAGAACAAGGAAAUAUUUUUGGGUUUUCUUUUUAAAACUACAACUAACUACACUAGAAAGAAAAAUAACAAAGAAGCAAGAAAUAUAUUUUUUUGUACUUUCUCGAAGUUUUUCAAACACACAAGAAGGCGAGAAAAUAAAUCUAGCAUGGAUAAUACAAUUAAAAAGUGUGGACACCGACAACUGGAAUGAAAUGUGUGAACAUAAAAGCAAUGUCAGUGGAAAUACACACUCCCCCAAGCUAAGGCUUUUGGCCUAACUUGGUAAUCACCACUCGAAGAAACCAUGGGGUCCUAUGUUGAAGUGCUGGGGAGCGGGCACCUGAGUGUCCCACUCCUGAGGCUCCCCCCUCUGCUGUAGCCAGGUUAUUCUGGUAGGCGACAAUGUCCUCAGGCAAGAUCCUGUAUCCGCCCCUGGCGAUAGGAUCAAACAAAUCAGGUGUAGGCAAUGGAAUAAUAUCACGAGUGUCCGCACUGAAAACCAGGUUAUAAGGAACAGUAAUGUCAGCGCUCUUGCUAUCAAUAAACUGGUGGUGUGCCAUAGCCUAACGAUCUAAUAGACCUUGGGUAAAGGAUAGUCAUGCUGGCGUAUCUGAAUGUUGAAGUGACUCACUAAACGAGUAGCAUAAAUACCACCAUGUAUUUUACCCUUGGAUCUGUUAAUGUGGAGGCGACAUGCCACAAUAGCCCCCAAGCUAUAAGUGUUGUUGCUGUAAAGUGCACGGCAUAAAAUAGCGAAGUCCGGGGAACUGAGUGCACCUACCUUCUCUCUACUAAGCAAACACUUUGCAUUGAAUAGAGCAAAAUAAUGCACGACAAGAAAAUGUAAGCUAGUGGCAGUGACACCCGAUACCCUUCUCUCAUCCCCCACUGUCAGAGUACGGUAAAAACCAUCAAACUCCAUGGGCCUAGGCUCUACUAAACCACCAUUGGAAGGGAGCAAGCACAUGUCACAAAAAUCUGUAAGUGGUAUCUGAUGGGGUUCAGCAUAUAAGUUAAACUGGACCUUAGGGGGAUUAUUCCUACUCAAGAAAUGAAAGCUUUGCACAAAGGAAUUUGUGAAUAUAUGGCACUGUUCACAUUCAGCUGGGAUGAAGUUGGUGAGGCUAGCAUUAGCAGCAUAUUGUGCAAACUCUUGAUGGAUUCUAGCUCCCUCCAUGAAUGGGUUAUGCGGCCAUUCGCACGGCUGUACCUCCGCCAUUCUCUGGGUACGAAGAUCUGAUGAGUCCCUAAUAAUUCCCUUGGAGUUCUUCUUGGAAGCAAACUUCCUAAGGAUAGUCAUAUAUUUCCUAUGAACAAAAUUCUGAAAUUUUUAGUCCACAAAGUUUUUCUCAACAAAACUUUACAAGAAUGAGAGCAACUACUCAUGGGGAUGCAUAGAGGCCAUAUCAAGCAUUAAAACUACUUAGAACUCUAAGAAUUUAACAUGCAAGCUCAUCUAUAGCAGCACCAACAGCAACUAAUUAUUCAAAGUAUAAACCACUAAAGCAAAAACUAAUUGGACCAAUGGAGGAGUCACAUACCAAGCAACAAUCCCCCGAAACAGUUUCAGAAACAGAGCUUUGAGCAAAGGGAUUGAAAUCCGUGGGUUUGAGAGAAAGAACACGAGAGAGAGAAUAAUGCUGAUUUUUUCUAGAGGUAGGUGGUGAUAUGGGAUGAAGAGAUAAGUGAGGGGGCCCACGCGGGGACCACGACCCACCAGGAGCACCUCCCUCUGAUGUUAUUUGCACUAAAAAUUCUUAAAUAUUCAGAAAAAAAAUCGUAUUAAAUUUUCAGACUGAGAACUUUUAUUUUUGCAUCAUUUUUUUAUUGUACGGAAAACUCAGAAAACAGACAAAACCUGACAUUUUAUUUUAUUUAACUAAUAAAAACUAAAAACAAAGGGUAAGGACAGAAGGUAGUGCUCACUAAAUUCGUCAACUUCAUACUUCUCAAAAAUGAUCCAAUAAUAAGGUUGAUGAAGUCUUAUUAACAACCACUUCUGAUUGGCAUGAAACCGAAGAACUUUCGUGAAACACUAAGUUAUCUCAAUGGGGAUAUGAAUGUCCCCAACAAUAAGCAUUUCAUAUUUCUUUUUGGCAGUAGGUAGACAUAGUCGAAAACUUCCAAUAGUGAUUGUCUGAGAUUUUUAAAUAAAAUUAAUACCAUUCACUUGGAAUUGUUUCUUCAAAAAGUGCACCGUAUGCUCAUUACCAUUGAUAUGAAAAGUUACCUUGCUUUUAUUGCAAUCAAUAACAGCCCCUACAGUAUUCAAGAAGGGUCUACCAAGGAUAAUUUACAUGUUGUCGUCCUCAGGCAUCUCAAGUAUAACAAAGUCAGUUAAGAUAGUAACGUUUGCAACAACAACAGGCACAUCCUCACAAAUACCGAUAGGUAUGGCAGUUGAUUUGUCAGCCAUUUGCAAAGAUAUUUUGAUAGGUGUGAGUUUGUUCAAAUCAAGUCUUUUAUAUAAAGAAAAAGGCAUAACACUAACACCAGCUCCUAAAUCACAUAAAUCAGUUUUCAAGUAAUUUCCUUUGAUGGAGCAAGGUAUAGUUGGUAUUCCCGUAUCUCCAAGUUUUUUAGGUAUUCCACCCUUAAAAGUAUAAUUAUCAAGCAUGGUGGAGAUUUCAGCUUCCGGUAUUUUCUCUUAUUGGUGAUGAUGUCUUUCAUGUAUUUUGCAUAAGGAGGCAUUUUUAAGAUAUCAUUCAAGCGAGUACGCAAAAAGACUGGCCUCAGCAUUUCAGCAAAGCGUUCAAAUUCUUCAUCAUCUUUCUUUUUGGUUGACUUAAUUAGGUGGAAAGAGCAUAGGUUUUUGAACCCACGGUUCUCUUUCCUUACCAUGUUUUCUAGCUACAAAGUCUUAUCAUAUCUUUUAUUCUUGGGUUGUGGGUUAUCAAGAUCAAUUGUCGGUUCUAUUUCAACAUCAUUGUCUGGUUCUUUAUUAUUUGUUUGAGUAUCUUCAUCAACCUCAAAAUUGUCUUUUUCAUCAUCAGAAGUUGAGUGUUCAUUACCAGAUUGAGUUUCAACAUCAUAAAUAGAGACUUCAUUCUCGUUAUCAGGAGGUUUUUCUACUUCAGGUUCACUAGAGGCAUGCAAAGUCCUAUUAUUUUUCUUCUUCAUUUUCUUUUUAAAAGGACUAGGUGCAUCUGUUUAACUCUUUGAGAGUCUUGUUCAAUUCUUUUUGGGUGUCCCUCAGGAUAAAGUGGUUCCUGAGUCAUUCUACUUCCUCUAGUCAUUACUCUAACAACAUGAUCAUUGAUAUUAUUAUUCAUUUCGUCUAACAACUCUCUUUGAGAUUUUGCAACUUGUUCUAAUUGUGUUUCAACCAUAGAGGCAUGCUUCCCUACACCUCUAACAUCAUUUGAGACUCUAAAUAACAAGUCACUCAAGCGAGCAAUCAUAUCAGAAAUAUAUUUCAAUUGUUUCAUAACAUUUGCAUUGAAGUGAUCUUGCUUUCUAAUGUAAUUAUCAAACUCAUAAAGGCAUUGAAUAGGAUGUUUAUUAUAAGGAAUAUCACCUUCAUCGAACUUUAGUGAAGAAUUUACCUCUACCACCUUAGGUGGUGAUGGUGUUUCAAGCCCAUGUAUUUCUUUGACAGGUGCUAAAAUUUUAACAUCCUGUGCUUUAAUACCUUUUUCCUUCAUAGAUUUCUUUGCCUCUUUCAUAUCUUCAGGACUGAGAUAUAAGAUACCCCUCUUCUUUGGAGUAGGUUUAAAUGAUGGUUCAGGAAGGAUCCAAUCAUCAUAAUUUUUCAAUAUGUUAUUCAAUAAUUCUUCAGCUUGUUCAACAGUUCGUUCCCUGAAAACACAACCAGCACAACUAUCUAGCAAAUCCCUAGAAGCAUGGGUUAGUCCAUUAUAGAAGAUAUCAGGUAUUUCAUUUUUCUUAAGAGGAUGAUCAGGGAAAGCAUUAAGCAAUUGGAGAAGCCUCCCCCAAUCUUGUGGGAGACUCUCUUCUUCAAUUUGCGCAAAGUUAAAUAUUUUCUGUAAGGCAACUUCUUUCUUAUGAGCAGGAGAAUAUUUUUCAGAGAAGUAAUAAAUCAUAUCCUGGGGACUACCCACACAACCAGGAGCAAGAAUAUUAUACCAAGCCUUAACAUCACCCUUUAAUGAGAACGGAAAUAAUUUGAGAAUAUAAUAAUAGUGAAUCUUCUCAUCAUGAGCAAAAAGGGUGUCUAUGUCAUUCAACUUAGUAAGAUGUGCCACAAAAGUUUCAGUUUUAUAACCAUGGAAAGGAUCAGAUUCAACCAAAGUAAUUAACUCUGGGUCGACAGAGAAUUCAUAAUCCUUAUCAUCAACAAAGAUAGGUGAAGUAGCAAACUGAGCAUCACAUUUCAUUUUAGCAUUCAAAUUCUUUUCUUUAUACUUGCAUAAUAAUUUUUCAAAAUCAUCUCUAUCCUUACAAGCAAGAAUGUCUCUAGUUGUCUCCCCAUCCAUAACAUAACCUUCUGGUACCUUUGGCAAUUCAUAUCUAGGAGAACUAGUUGUAACAAGUGUUUCAGGAUUUUUAGUUUCAAGCUCUUCAUCAGUUUCAACAAUCUCAUUCUGUCUUACUCUAGCAAUAUGUUCAUCAAGAAAUUCACCCAGUGGCACAUUAUCAUCAAGCGAGGUACUAGAAUCAUGAGUAGCAUUCAUAGCAUUCAUAGCACCAUCAAUAACUUGCGACAUAUCAGAAUUGAUAACAUGUGGUGGUGCUUCGAGUCUACUUAUAACAGAAGAUGAAUCUAAAGCAGAGCUCGAUGGCAGUUCCUUACCUCCCCUCAUCUUAGAGGGAAAAAUCUUAGUCUUAGCAUCCUUCAAAUUCUUCAUCGGGAUAAUUUGAUAAUAAUCCCAAGUGACACAACAAAUAUAGCUAUGCUCCCCGGCAAAUGGCACCAUAAAAAGGUCUUGAUAACCCACAAGUAUAAGGGAUCGCAAUAGUUUUGGAGGGUAGAGUAUUCAACCCAAAUUUAUUGAUUCGACGCAAUGGGAGCCAUAGAAUAUUUGCAAGUAUUAGCAGCUGAAUUUUCAAUUCAACCACACCUGGAGAUUAAUUAUCUACAACAAAGUGAUCAUUAGCAAAGUAGUAUAAUAGCUUUGAUAGUAGUAGCAACAACAAUAGUAACGGUAACAGUGAUAGCAAUGAUUUUUUAGCAAGCGUAAUAGUAACAAUAGUAGUAGUAACUUAGCAAGAACAAUAUGAGAGAAAUUCAUAGGCAUUGGACCAGUGAAUUCGCUGGAUGAUAUUCAUCAUAUAACAUUCAUAACCUCGGGCGAUACGGCACUAGCUCUAGUUCAUAAAUAUAAUGUAGGCAUGUAUGCCGCAAAUAGUAAUACGUGCUUAUGGAAAGAACUUGCAUGACAUCUUUUGUCCUACCCCCCGUGGCAGCGGGGUCUUGAUGACCCACAAGUAUAUGGGGUCAAUUGUAGCCUUUUCGAUAAGUAAGAGUGUCGAACCCAACGAGGAGCAGAAGGAAAUGACAAGUGGUUUUCAGCAAGGUAUUGUCUGCAAGUGCUAAAAUUGUAAGUAGCGGAGUAGUUUGAUAGCAAGAUAAUUUGUAACGAGCAAGUAACGAUAGUGGUAACAAAAGUGCAGCAAGGUAGCCCAAUCCUUUUGAGGCAAAGGACAGACCAAAACGGUUUCUUAUGAUAAGCAAAGUGUUCUUGAGGGUACACGGGAAUUUCAUCUAGUCACUUUCAUCAUGUUGGCUUAAUUCGUGUUCGUUACUUUGAUAAUUUGAUAUGUGGGUGGACCGGUUCUUAGGUGUUGUUCUUACUUAAACAAACCUCCUACUUAUGAUUAACCCUCUUGCAAGCAUCCGCAACUACGAGAAAAGUAUUAAGAAUAAAUUCUAACCAUAGCAUUAAAAUUUUGGAUCCAAUCGGACCCUCACGGAAUAGCGCAUAAACUGGGGUUUAAGCUUUUGUCAGUCUCACAACCCACCAUCUAAUAACUACUCACAAAUGCAUUCCCUUAGGCCCAAAUAUGGUGAAGUGUCAUGUAGUCGACUUUCACAUGACACCACUAAGAGAAUGACAACAUACAUAUCAUCAAAAAUAUCGAACACAUAUCAAGUUCACAUGAUUACUUGCAACAUGAUUUCUCCCGUGACCUCAAGAACGAAAGUAACUACUCACAAAUGAUAAACAUGCUCAAGAUCAGAGGAGUAUUAAAUAGCAUAAUGGAUCUGAACAUAUAAUCUUCCACCAAAUAAAUCAUAUUGUAAUCAACUACAAUAUGUAAUCAACACUACUAGUCACCCACAAUCACCAAUCUAUAGUUUUGAUACAAAGAUUGAACACAAGAGAUGAACUAGGGUUUGAGAAGAGUUGGUGCUAUGAAGAUGCUGAUGAAGAUAGCCCUCCCCAAGAUGGGAGAGUUGUUGGUGAUGAUGAUCACGAUGAUUUCCCCCUCCGGGAGGGAAGUUCCCCUGGCGGAAUCGCUCCGCCGGAGGGCAAAAGUGCUCCUGCCCAAGUUCCGCCUCGAGGUGACGACGCUUCUUCCCGAAAGUCCUCCUCUCAUUUUUUUCUAGGUUAAAAUGACUUAUAUACAAGAAGAUGGGCACCAGAGGUGGGCCGAGGAGGGCGCACCCACCAGGGCGCGCCUGGGCCUCCUGGCGCGCCCAGGUGGGUUGUGCCCACCUGGUGGCCCCCCUCUGGUACUUAUUUGCUCCAAUAUUUAUUAAAUAUUCCAUAAAAAAUCCUCGGGAAGUUUCAACUCAUUUGGAGUUGUGCAGGAUAGGUAGCUUGACGUAGCUUUUUCAGGUCCAGAUUUCCAGCUGUCGGAAUUCUCACCCUUGGUGCUUACCUUGCAUAUUAUGAAAGAAAAGGCAUUAGAAUUACUCCAAAAAGCAUUAUUAUACAAUAAAACAACAUAAAUAAUAGUAGGAAAACCUGAUGCAAAAUGGACGUAUCAACUCCCCCAAGCUUAGACCUCACUUGCCCUCAAGCGAAAACUGAAACCUAAAAACAUGUCCACAUGCUUAGAGAGAGAGGUGUCGAUAAAAACAAAAAUACGGACAUAGUAGCAUCAUGUGACUUAUUAUAACAACAACAAACUUUAACAUAAAUCUUUAAUCAUAGAACUUCUCAUGAACAAGUGACAAUUCAUCACAACAUCGAAGUAUAAAGCAUAAACUCUAUUGGAAACCGACAAACUAUGUUCUCAGUCAACUUUGCAACUACAAUUCAUCAUCUUUUUAGGAAGAGUCACCUAUCGAAGCCUUUAGGCAAGUCCACAUACUCAACCAUCAUUUAGUCUUCUAUGAUUGCUAACACUCACCGCGUACACAUGAGCAAAACGUUUCAACCGGACACAUAGAAAGAUAGGGGCUUAUAGUUUUGCCUCCCAACGCAUUCACCUCAAUGGUGAUAUCAACAAUAAUAACUCAUGCUACCAUAUUCAACUGGACAUAUGUGCCUAGAUCUUUCCUCACCCCAUGAUGCUUGCCAAGGGAGAAAAUAAAAGGAAAAGAGAGAAAAACUUUGACUCUUGCAUAAAAGUAAAUACAUGAAAGUAAAAGAUAGGCCCUUCGCAGAGGGAAGCAGAGGUUGCCAUGCUUUUGUUUGUAUGCUCAACCCCUUAGUGCAAGAGAACAUCACGUUAUAUUGCCCAUAGUGAUGGCAACCUUUAUUGUGCAGUCUGUCGCUUUUAUUCUUCACCAUCACAAGUUCGUACAACGAUCAAUUUUCCAUUACACUAAAUGAUCUCACACUUUUAUAAGCAAUUUUUAUUGCCCUUUUUGCACCGAUGACAACUUACUUGAUGGAUAUUACUCAAUCCGUAGGUAGGUAUGGUGGACUCUGAAACAAUAUAGGGUUUAAGGGUUUUGGAUGCACAAGUAGUAUCUCUACUUAGUGCGGAGUUUUUGGCUAGCAAAGAUAGGGGCAAGCACCACAUGUUGAAGGAUCUAUGACAAUAUAACUUCUAUGUGGAUAUGAACAAACAUAAAUCAUUAAGUUGUCUUCCUUGUCCAACGUCAACAAUUUGGCAUAUAAUAUUUUGAUGGGUGCUCACAAUCAUAAAAGAUUUCCAUGAUAGUAUAUUUAUAUGUAAAUAUUCUCUUCCCUUAUUAAUUCUUUCAUGAGUGGCAUCAUUGACCAAUGCUAUGUUUGUCAAUCUACAAUAAAAUUUUCUACUUAUACUUUUCCUUGUGUAAUGUCAUCACUUACCAUAAGAUUAACAUAUGAUAUUUUUCUUUUAUUUCCUUUCUUUUUAUUGAAACAAAAAAAGUAAAGAAGGCAAAACUCAAACUAAACUUUUUUAUAUAUAUCACACACGACUACAAGGAUUGAUCACUAACAAAACUCACAAAAAGAAAGGGUAACUAAACUUUUAUUCAUCUAAUAGCAAAAGAUAACCAUGGAUCAAACUAAGAAAGUAAAGGCAAAAGAUAGUGGAGAUGAUACGAUACUGGGUCACCUCCCCCAAGCUCGGCGGAAGCCAAGGGGAGUGCCCAUACCCAAUACUCAGUUUUCUUUUGGUGGUGAAGAAGGAGGUGGCGGUGAUGAAGUGGUGGGUCUGCCAUCCUUCCUCAGCUUACGCUUGAGGACGAAAUUCUCAUCUUUUAGUUCUUGAAUCUCCCACUCAAGCUCCAACACCUUUUUGCACCAAUCUUGCUUAUUUUCCUGCAAGAUACGAAAAGGGAUUAACUAGAUCCUAGGUGUGACGCCCCCGAUUCAAUCAUACACUAAUCAUGCACGCAAAUGUGUACGAUCAAGAUCAGGGACUCACGGGAAGAUAUCACAACACAACUCUAAAACUUAAAUAAGUCAUACAAGCAUCAUAAUACAAGCCAGGGGCCUCGAGGGCUCGAAUACAAGUGCUCGAUCAUAGACGAGUCAGCGGAAGCAACAAUAUCUGAGUACAGACAUAAGUUAAACAAGUUUGCCUUAAGAAGGCUAGCACAAACUGGGAUACAGAUCGAAAGAGGCGCAGGCCUCCUGCCUGGGAUCCUCCUAACUACUCCUGGUCGUCGUCAGCGGCCUGCACGUAGUAGUAGGCACCUCCAGGGUAGUAGGGAUCAUCGUCGACGGUGGCGUCUGGCUCCAGGGCUCCAGCAUCUGGUUGCGACAACCAGGUAGAAGGGAAAGGGGAAAGAGGGAGAAAAGCAACCGUGAGUACUCAUCCAAAGUACUCGCAAGCAAGGAACUACACUACAUAUGCAUGGGUAUAUGUGUAAGGAGGCCAUAUCGGUGGACUGAACUGCAGAAUGCCAGAAUAAGAGGGGGAUAGCUAGUCCUAUCGAAGACUACGCUUCUGGCAGCCUCCGUCUCGCAGCAUGUAGAAGAGAGUAGAUUGAAGUCCUCCAAGUAGCAUCUCCAAGUAGCAUCUCCAAGUAUCAUCUCCAAGUAGCAUCUCCAAGUAGCAUCUCCAAGUAGCAUCUCCAAGUAUCAUCUCCAAGUAGCAUCUCCAAGUAGCAUCUCCAAGUAGCAUCUCCAAGUAGCAUCGCAUAGCAUAAUCCUACCCGGCGAUCCUCCCCUCGUCGCCCUGUGGAAAAGCGAUCACCGGGUUGUCUGUGGAACUUGGAAGGGUGUGUUUUAUUAAGUAUCCGGUUCUAGUUGUCAUAAGGUCAAGGUACAACUCCAAGUCGUCCUGUUACCGAAGAUCACGGCUAUUCGAAUAGAUUAACUUCCCUGCAGGGGUGCACCAACUUACCCAGCACGCUUGAUCCCAUUUGGCCGGACACACUUUCCUGGGUCAUGCCCGGCCGCGGAAGAUCAACAUGUCGCAGCCCCACCUAGGCAAAACAGAGAGGCCAGCACGCCGGUCUAAACCUAAGCGCACAGGGGUCUGGGCCCAUCGCCCAUAGCACACCUGCACGUUGCGAGGGCGGCCGAAAGCAGACCUAGCCUAGUGGCGUUCCAGUCCAAUUCAGCGCGCACCGCUCCAUCGCUGACGUCUGAAGUGCUUCGACUGAUACCACGACGUCGGGAUACCCAUAACUACUCCCGCGUAGAUGGUUAGUGCGUAUAAGCUCGUAGCCAACUCAGAUCAAAUACCAAGAUCUCGUUAAGCGUGUUAAGUAUCCGCGAACACCGAACAGGGCCAGGCCCACCUCUCUCCUAGGUGGUCUCAACCUGCCCUGUCGCUCCGCCACAAAGAUCCACACAGAGGGCCGUCGGGACAAAGGUCCUUUCAGCCCCCAAUACGUGAAUCACUCGCGGGUACUCUUCGAGCUGACCCGACUUUAGUCACCAUCUGUAUAGUAUGUAUGUAUGUAUAAUAUAUACCCGUGAUCAACUCCCGAGUGAUCACGGCCCAAUAGUAUAGCAAGGCAGACUGACAAGAAUGUAGGGCCAAUGAUGAUAAACUAGCAUCCUAUACUAAGCAUUUAGGAUUGCAGGUAAGGUAUCAACAGAUGUAGCAACAAUGUCAGGCUAUGCAUCAGAAUAGGAUCAACGGAAAGCAGUAACAUGCUACACUACUCUAAUGCAAGCAGUAUAGAGUAGAAUAGGCGAUAUCUGGUGAUCAAGGGGGGCUUGCCUGGUUGCUCUGGCAAGAGAGAGGGGUCGUCAACUCUAUAGUCGAACUGGGCAGCAGCAGCGUCGGUCUCGUGGUCUACCGGAGAGAAGAGGGGGAAGAAACAAUGAAUACAAUGCAAACAAUGCAUAUCGAUGCAUGACAUGACAAGUAACGAUGCUAGGCGUGCCCUAGCGUGGUAUGAGGUGGUACCGGUUAAGGGGGAAACAUUCGGGAAAAUAUCCCCGGUGUUUUGGGUUUUCGGGCAGAGGAGCCGGAGGGGGAAAGUUGCGGGUUCGAUAGUUUAGGGGUGUGUGGCGGACGAACAGACUGCGUAUCCGGAUUCGUCACGUCGUUCUGAGCAACUUUCAUGUUGAAAAUAUUUUAAUCCGAGUUACGGAUUAAAAGAUAUGAUUUUAAAGAUUUUAUUAAUUUCUAGAAUUUAAUUAAUUAAUUAAUUAAUUCGAAAAAAUGGAUUUAUGAUGUCAGCAUGAUGUCAUGCUGACGUCAGCAGUCAACAGAGUUGACCUGUUCAACCUGACAUGAGGGUCCAGGGGGGACCCACCUGUCAUCCUCUAAUUAGGUUAAUUAGGGUUUAGGUUAAUCUAAUUACAGUUUAAUUAAACUUAACUAGUUAAUUAAAUUAAUUAAACUGGAUUAAUUAACUUAAUUAAUUCAUUAGUUAAUUAAUUAAUUAAUAAUUAAUUUUAUUAAAUCAUUUUUUAUUUUUAUUUUCCUUUUCCUUUUUUUAUUUUCAAAAACGUUAUGGGGCACGGGCCCCGUUUGUCAUAGGCCCCUAGGGGCCAUAUUGGGUUCGGGCGCAGGCCGGCGCGAGAUUGCGGCGGCAGGGCGGUGCGUGGCGGGGUGGGAGCAGGGGGAACGACGGCGCGGCAGUGGGGGGCUACGGCCAUGGUCGGGCGCCAGCUGCAGGCGGAGCCGGCGAGGUCAGAGGCGGAGCGGGGGCACGGCGAGUUGGACGGGGCGAGUGGGUGCGUUCACGAGGGGCGAGCAAAGGCGGGAGCGCCGUCGCGCGCGCGUAGUCGACGCGGGCGGCGGGCGACGCACAGGGGCGGCAGAGGCGAGGGCCGCCGCGGUAAGGUGCUAGGCGGGGGAAGGAGGACUGGGGUCCUCACCGUCCGUUGGAGGGAAGGGGGCGUCGAGGCGCGAUGGCGACCAGUGGGGAGGAGGACGAGGAGGCGAUCCGGCGACGGCGACGGGGCGGCGUUUAGGCGAGGGAGAUCCAGUUGAGGGGGGCGCCGCACAGUCCAGUGGACGCCAUGGCCGCGGGGAGGAGGGCUCUGGCGUGGUGGCAUCGCGGGGGAGGACAGAGGCGCGGCGGGGCGGCGACCGGUGACGGAGCCCAGCGGCAGGGCGCGGGGUCGGGCGCCGGAUGGCACGGCCGUUGCCCCGAUCCAGAGGGGAUCGAGGAGUGGGUGAGCGAGGGGAGUGGGGAUGGGAAGUGGCGACAUGGGGGUGUCGGUUAGGGUUUGGUGCCCCCAGGGGGUUAUAGGCCAGGGGAGGGAGUGGGCCGGCCUGGCAGGCCACUGGUUGGGCCGAGGUCCAGUUGGCCUGGGGGUUUUCUUUUCCUUUUUUUUGUUAGUUUGUUUUUCUAUUUUAUUUCUUUUCUUCUUUUCUGUUUUAUUAAAUUUCGGUGUUUAUGAAAAACCCAAGUUGCACCUAAAAUAUUUUUAGUACUUAUGCCACUACCGCAAUUAACUUGGCACCUAAUAUAAAAUCAUUUGUAAUUGUUUAUUAUUUUAUAAUCAUUUAACUAAUUGUUUUUGCUACUAUUUUAUUCAUUUUGAGUAUUUACAUAUUUUAUACAAGUGUGGUUUCUCCACCAUAAUUACCUACGCAUUAUUUGGCACAACCAGAACAUUUUAGUUUUAUUAUUUGAAAACUUUUGUUGUUUGCCUAUAUUUUAAAUUUGAAUUUGAAUCGUUUUGAACUAACACGAGUUUACCAACAGUAACCGAGGUGACGUGGCAUCAUUAGCGCAGGGUUACUGUAGCUUGAUUACCCGGGCGUCAUAAUUCUCUUCCACUACAAGAAAUCUCGUCCCGAGAUUUAAGAGGUAGUGAAAGGGGGGGAAGGUUUGGUAACGAAUCUAGCGGGUCUUCUCAUUCUGGCUUGCUCUUCUCGAAGAGACCAGUCCAGUACAUUGAUGUUUUCAUUUCUCCGCUUCAGGUCAUCAUGAUGAAGUCGGCAUCCUUUCUUCGGGAUCUUCAUCGUAUUUACGAAUAGGUAACGAGGCAUAUUGGCAACGAUAGUAUGUUAUAAGGGUAAUGAUCUGGGAUUAACCCAUGAAUGAGCAUAUGAGUACCUCUUGAGUUGAACAAAUAAAACACAUCGAGAGUAAAGUUGGAAGGUACAAUAAGAAGUUUCAGGCAGCCAGGCAAUCGUUCAAUGCCUAGUCAGAAGGUGAAAGUGGUUCAGAGCAACGAGAAUAAGUAUUGCGUCUGAUACCAGAAUUGAUGAUCUCAUCGGUAGGUGGCUCAUGAAUUUCAUACGAGUCCACGCGCGAGGAAUAACUUUGGAAACAUGAGGGUGUACAGGAGAGUCAGGUUUCGAUCCUGGUGGAACUGUGGGUUAUGGGCCCACCAUGUGGGUUAAAAGUAGGAAAAGCGGUGACGUCUUGCACAAUCAUGUAAGCAAGGCAUGUCAGAGGAGAGUCUAUGGGUCAUGUCGGCAACAACAUAGGUACCAAGGGCGAGGGACGAAGAGAACCAUUUUUCUGCUCGUUGAAACGAGGCGGACCAACAGGCAAGGUUCCCGUCCAUCGGUGGUUACUGGAAUGUCAUCAACAAUAGUAACAAGGUCUUACCGACAGAGUUGUACAUCGAGGCGUUUGCACAAGCAGUGGAUUAUUACUGCUUAUAUCAUAUAGAUCAUAGAAAAUGUUUAAACAAACCAAUGGAAGGAAAAUAUGAUCAUCAGAUUAAACAGAACAAUGGAAAGGAAAAUAUGUUUAAACACAUUUUUCAAGGGUAUAUCCUUCCCAAGGACAAGCAGAGCAACAUAUCCAUGACAGGAUAUAAAGUAGAAAACCAUUUAGGUAAGGGGGAAGGAAUCUCAUGAUAUUACCCAUACAACGGUGUUAGGAUAAGUGAUAAAUAAAAUUUAGCAUCGUGCUUCAAAUGUUCCUGUUGAAAAUCGGAGUACCAUUGACAUGCUUCGAGAUAGCAUUGACAUGGUCUUCAGGUGAAGAUCAGACUCUGGAAACACGAAGGAUCCAUCAGGAAUAACUUGUAGAAUAAGUUUUACAAUUUCCUCAUGGAAGAAUGGCUAAGCUUGCUAAAAAGGAUACUACAACAAUAGGUCCUCCACCCAGGGGGGGGGGUGCUAGGCAUGACAUCAUGUUACCGGGUCGUCAAAGGACCAACAUCAUAACUCUUGGAAAGUUGUCCCAACCAUCAUAUCUGACCGAGAUUCAGAUCCGAUUGGUGUCAGGAUGCCUCAGACUCAGGAUGUCCGAGAAGAAAAGGCGCAACACAAAUCAUUGAAAUGGCAUUGCAAGAUUCUCGGGAAAUGAACUAUGGGAGCGGGUUCCUAAAACAAUAGUUCAUCAUUAAACCAAGGAGAGGUGAGGAGGUGGCUGAUUGACUCUGCGACAAUUCAUUGAGAUUUUCAAAAGAUGGAUUUCCACAAUAAUGUGAACAAGAAGAUGACAUUUGUCAGAUCAAAUGGUAUAAUGAUGUAUGCUCGAGGAAAACAUACACAAUUAAACAUUGGUUGAAAGGUGCACCCGAAAUAUGGGUUGGGUUGCACGACCAAUGUCAGAAUGGUGAUUCAAUAGUCAAUAGCCUAAGAAUGAACAUUCGACCAUUAACUUCAAAAAAAUAGGGUUGCUAGAAGGAAAGAAUCCAAACAACACCGUUCACUUGUUGGAAUUAACACGGGGACCAAGAAAGAAUGGUGAUGGUGAGAAGUAUUUCUAUGUCAAGAAUUCUCAAGAGGUGGAACAAAUCUCAGAACAUUCUUGACAUAAAGGAUGGUAAUACUCCAAGGUAAAGAAGAACAAUUGCUGGAUGGCAAGGAACUCAAGGUAUAACACCAAACAUGAACAAGCUUGUGUUGGUGGGAGGGCAAUAAAGUGGUCGACGAUAAUACAAUUCAUCGAGGGCAAGGAUGGUAUUUCUCAUCAUGAAUUCAAUUGAUAUCCUGGAUGAGCUCAGAAUGUUGAUGAUCACGACACCUUUGUCGCGAGAGUUCAUGAAGAUGUAAUCGAUCGGUAACGACAUCAAGUCAAGUAAUGAUGAAGUGAAAGGUUAUUGGAACCAAGGGUACGACACAAACUCGAAACCAAGCUUGUUGUUCAAGGCGAAAUGAUAUGACGAUGAGGAUCGACGUAAGGUUAGUUCAUCGUCGAAAAUUGGUGCUCCGAGAAUAAGGACCAGGUAGCACAGUUAGAAUCGUCACGACAAUGAUAUAGCCAAACAGGCUAGGAAUGGCGUGAUCGGGUACAAACUCGUACUUAUAGAAGCUUACUGAAGAGUUGUUGAACCGAAGAGCGGACUCAGUUCAGUUAUCGGUGUCUUUGAGUGUUCAAUAACUCAGAGCCCGCGAAAAAUUGGAAUCAGUGGGAAGGUAGCACUUGAUGAAGAACUCAUAAAAAGUUAUGCAGUUCCAUGAUAAUCUCGAGAUACCAAGGGGGUAAUACUCGACACAAGAUCAAAGUAAAGGUUGGACUGGUGUAUUGAUCCAUAGAAGACAAUUGUUUUAACUUGUCCGAGAAAUGAGAUCAAAGAAGAACAAUCAUGGUCGGAACCACGGUUGAAAAAGGCCAGAUCCUAGAUAUAAGAUGAACUUAUACCAAAGGAAUAAUUUAUUUAAGAGAAGCUUUAAUGAUAAGAUCUACAUCGUGUCGAUGGGCAUGAACACAAGUUCAAGGUCGACUCCCACUUCUCCAAUGCAUAACCUUUCAUUUACUUCUCACGUUCGAUGAAGUUGCAGUGUUGAAAUUUUAUCUGGUGAAGCACCAGAAGAGUAUGACUCGUGAAAACUUUCGGGUUCACACGGUUUAGAGAAGGCAUAUGUUCCCAUAGGGGCUUCUUAGAAACAUAUACCACAAGUUUCAAGAGUAAAUAACACAAGCCCGAAAGCAGAGCAUGGUUGGCCAAGCAGAGGAUACAACUUAACAAAGGCAUUAUGUAUCAGGGGAAGAACUCACAAGGUGAUCAAAUGUGAAGGACACUGUCGGAUAACAAUCCAACAAAGGACUUGAUGGUCCACAAAGGAUCUGAUACGAGUAUCGGUACUCAACUAGAGGAAGAAGAAUGCAAGGAGAUCAGAUUAUAGAAACAACUGACUAACUCAAUUGUCAAAUGCAAAGGAAUUAUGAUUUCCAAAUCAAGGGAUCAAAAGCAAUGCUCUGAUUAGGGAUGGAUAAGUUGAAUAGCCUUAGGGUACAAUCAACGACAAUUGGAUUGGUCAAGAACCAAUUCCAGUUAAAAGAAUGGAAGCUCAGCCGGAAAGGUAAUUUAUAAGGAUCAAUGAUGAUUGCGUGUAUUCGCAACAUAUUGAGUCAACAGACUCAAAAUGAUAAUGACAAGGAAUGUCAAUAAGAUUUCUAUACUUAUGGGAUUAAUCAUAAUGAAAGCAAACAAGAAAUUCCAGAGCAAUAGGUUGCUGAGGAUUUUCAGAAUAUCGGGUGGUAUUUCGAAGACUUUUGUGUAACACAUGAACAACUGGGGGAUGAGCGGAUACUCGAUAAGUGCGAGAAUUUAUUUGAAGGGGGUAUUCAUGUGGCAAAGAACUGCUAGGCAGUAAGCACAAAGUAUUCUCGGAACAAUAGAGAAAACUUCGGGGUAUCUUGUAAUAACAAGAUCAAUGGGGGGUGAUCAUAUGAAUGGCAAGUGUAAGUAGUUAUCCAUACAGAUUUAUCGGUGGUCAGGAAUAGCAAAAGUGAUGGGCACAAAGUCUCGAGAGAACAUCAGAGAGUAUCUUCGGAAUCAUCUGAUGUAGCAGGCGAUCCUCUGCAGUAAGGGGCUCUCCGGGUGGAUGCGAUCACGAGAUCCUAAUCUUAGAGUUAGCAAAUUCAUUUAACCCGAAUAGUAGAGAGAUCAGAGUCCCAGAGUAUAGGUCGAGGAGUAAAAGAUCCUACUACCACCCGAUGGCGACGUGGGCCCAUGGGCCACAUAGCCAUGUUAGUAAAAGUUUUUCAACGACUAGACUCGACUUCAGCCAAGGAAUUGGAAAGAGGGAUUCCUACAGGCAGUUGGCUCUGAUACCAACUUGUGACGCCCCCGAUUCAGUCGUACACUAAUCAUGCACGCAAAUGUGUACGAUCAAGAUCAGGGACUCACGGGAAGAUAUCACAACACAACUCUAAAACUUAAAUAAGUCAUACAAGCAUCAUAAUACAAGCCAGGGGCCUCGAGGGCUCGAAUACAAGUGCUCGAUCAUAGACGAGUCAGCGGAAGCAACAAUAUCUGAGUACAGACAUAAGUUAAACAAGUUUGCCUUAAGAAGGCUAGCACAAACUGGGAUACAGAUCGAAAGAGGCGCAGGCCUCCUGCCUGGGAUCCUCCUAACUACUCCUGGUCGUCGUCAGCGGCCUGCACGUAGUAGUAGGCACCUCCAGGGUAGUAGGGAUCAUCGUCGACGGUGGCGUCUGGCUCCAGGGCUCCAGCAUCUGGUUGCGACAACCAGGUAGAAGGGAAAGGGGAAAGAGGGAGAAAAGCAACCGUGAGUACUCAUCCAAAGUACUCGCAAGCAAGGAACUACACUACAUAUGCAUGGGUAUAUGUGUAAGGAGGCCAUAUCGGUGGACUGAACUGCAGAAUGCCAGAAUAAGAGGGGGAUAGCUAGUCCUAUCGAAGACUACGCUUCUGGCAGCCUCCGUCUCGCAGCAUGUAGAAGAGAGUAGAUUGAAGUCCUCCAAGUAGCAUCUCCAAGUAGCAUCUCCAAGUAUCAUCUCCAAGUAGCAUCUCCAAGUAGCAUCUCCAAGUAGCAUCUCCAAGUAUCAUCUCCAAGUAGCAUCUCCAAGUAGCAUCUCCAAGUAGCAUCUCCAAGUAGCAUCGCAUAGCAUAAUCCUACCCGGCGAUCCUCCCCUCGUCGCCCUGUGGAAAAGCGAUCACCGGGUUGUCUGUGGAACUUGGAAGGGUGUGUUUUAUUAAGUAUCCGGUUCUAGUUGUCAUAAGGUCAAGGUACAACUCCAAGUCGUCCUGUUACCGAAGAUCACGGCUAUUCGAAUAGAUUAACUUCCCUGCAGGGGUGCACCAACUUACCCAGCACGCUUGAUCCCAUUUGGCCGGACACACUUUCCUGGGUCAUGCCCGGUCGCGGAAGAUCAACACGUCGCAGCCCCACCUAGGCAAAACAGAGAGGCCAGCACGCCGGUCUAAACCUAAGCGCACAGGGGUCUGGGCCCAUCGCCCAUAGCACACCUGCACGUUGCGAGGGCGGCCGAAAGCAGACCUAGCCUAGUGGCGUUCCAGUCCAAUUCGGCGCGCGCCGCUCCGUCGCUGACGUCUGAAGUGCUUCGGCUGAUACCACGAUGUCGGGAUACCCAUAACUACUCCCGCGUAGAUGGUUAGUGCGUAUAAGCUCGUAGCCAACUCAGAUCAAAUACCAAGAUCUCGUUAAGCGUGUUAAGUAUCCGCGAACACCGAACAGGGCCAGGCCCACCUCUCUCCUAGGUGGUCUCAACCUGCCCUGUCGCUCCGCCACAAAGAUCCACACAGAGGGCCAUCGGGACAAAGGUCCUUUCAGCCCCCAAUCCGUGAAUCACUCGCGGGUACUCUUCGAGCUGACCCGACUUUAGUCACCAUCUGUAUAGUAUGUAUGUAUGUAUAAUAUAUACCCGUGAUCAACUCCCGAGUGAUCACGGCCCAAUAGUAUAGCAAGGCAGACUGACAAGAAUGUAGGGCCAAUGAUGAUAAACUAGCAUCCUAUACUAAGCAUUUAGGAUUGCAGGUAAGGUAUCAACAGAUGUAGCAACAAUGUCAGGCUAUGCAUCAGAAUAGGAUCAACGGAAAGUAGUAACAUGCUACACUACUCUAAUGCAAGCAGUAUAGAGUAGAAUAGGCGAUAUCUGGUGAUUAAGGGGGGGGCUUGCCUGGUUGCUCUGGCAAGAGAGAGGGGUAGUCAACUCUAUAGUCGAACUGGGCAGCAGCAGCGUCGGUCUCGUGGUCUACCGGAGAGAAGAGGGGGAAGAAACAAUGAAUACAAUGCAAACAAUGCAUAUCGAUGCAUGACAUGACAAGUAACGAUGCUAGGCGUGCCCUAGCGUGGUAUGAGGUGGUACCGGUUAAGGGGGAAACAUUCGGGAAAAUAUCCCCGGUGUUUUGGGUUUUCGGGCAGAGGAGCCGGAGGGGGAAAGUUGCGGGUUCGAUAGGUUAGGGGUGUGUGGCGGACGAACGGACUGCGUAUCCGGAUUCGUCACGUCGUUCUGAGCAACUUUCAUGUUGAAAAUAUUUUAAUCCGAGUUACGGAUUAAAAGAUAUGAUUUUCUAAAGAUUUUAUUAAUUUCUAGAAUUUAAUUAAUUAAUUAAUUAAUUCGAAAAAAUGGAUUUAUGACGUCAGCAUGAUGUCAUGCUGACGUCAGCAGUCAACAGAGUUGACCUGUUCAACCUGACAUGUGGGUCCAGGGGGGACCCACCUGUCAUCCUCUAAUUAGGUUACUUAGGGUUUAGGUUAAUCUAAUUACAGCUUAAUUAAACUUAAUUAGUUAAUUAAAUUAAUUAAACCGGAUUAAUUAACUUAAUUAAUUCAUUAGUUAAUUAAUUAAUUAAUAAUUAAUUUUAUUAAAUCAUUUUUUUAUUUUUUUUUCCUUUUCCUUUUUUUUUCAAAAACGUUAUAGGGCACGGGCCCCGUUUGUCAUAGGCCCCUAGGGGCCAUAUUGGGUUCGGGUGCUACGGGCGCCGCAGGUGCGGGCGCGAGGCGCUGCGGGGCGCCCGACCCAGGAGAGGGCCGAGCGGGCGCAGAGGGGGGCGCCGGCGACGGGCGCAGGCCGGCGCGAGAUUGCGGCGGCAGGGUGGUGCGUGGCGGGGUGGGAGCAGGGGGAACGACGGCGCGGCAGUGGGGGGCUACGGCCAUGGCCGGGCGNNNNNNNNNNNNNNNNNNNNNNNNNNNNNNNNNNNNNNNNNNNNNNNNNNNNNNNNNNNNNNNNNNNNNNNNNNNNNNNNNNNNNNNNNNNNNNNNNNNNNNNNNNNNNNNNNNNNNNNNNNNNNNNNNNNNNNNNNNNNNNNNNNNNNNNNNNNNNNNNNNNNNNNNNNNNNNNNNNNNNNNNNNNNNNNNNNNNNNNNNNNNNNNNNNNNNNNNNNNNNNNNNNNNNNNNNNNNNNNNNNNNNNNNNNNNNNNNNNNNNNNNNNNNNNNNNNNNNNNNNNNNNNNNNNNNNNNNNNNNNNNNNNNNNNNNNNNNNNNNNNNNNNNNNNNNNNNNNNNNNNNNNNNNNNNNNNNNNNNNNNNNNNNNNNNNNNNNNNNNNNNNNNNNNNNNNNNNNNNNNNNNNNNNNNNNNNNNNNNNNNNNNNNNNNNNNNNNNNNNNNNNNNNNNNNNNNNNNNNNNNNNNNNNNNNNNNNNNNNNNNNNNNNNNNNNNNNNNNNNNNNNNNNNNNNNNNNNNNNNNNNNNNNNNNNNNNNNNNNNNNNNNNNNNNNNNNNNNNNNNNNNNNNNNNNNNNNNNNNNNNNNNNNNNNNNNNNNNNNNNNNNNNNNNNNNNNNNNNNNNNNNNNNNNNNNNNNNNNNNNNNNNNNNNNNNNNNNNNNNNNNNNNNNNNNNNNNNNNNNNNNNNNNNNNNNNNNNNNNNNNNNNNNNNNNNNNNNNNNNNNNNNNNNNNNNNNNNNNNNNNNNNNNNNNNNNNNNNNNNNNNNNNNNNNNNNNNNNNNNNNNNNNNNNNNNNNNNNNNNNNNNNNNNNNNNNNNNNNNNGCGGCGGGGCGGCGACCGGUGACGGAGCCCACGGCGGGGCGCGGGGUCGGGCGCCGGACGGCACGGCCGUUGCCCCGAUCCAGAGGGGAUCGAGGAGUGGGUGAGCGAGGGGAGUGGGGAUGGGAAGUGGCGACGUGGGGGUGUCGGUUAGGGUUUGGUGCCCCCAGGGGGUUAUAGGCCAGGGGAGGGAGUGGGCCGGCCUGGCAGGCCACUGGUUGGGCCGAGGUCCAGUUGGCCUGGGGGUUUUCUUUUCCUUUUUUUUUGUUAGUUUGUUUUUCUAUUUUAUUUCUUUUCUUCUUUUCUGUUUUAUUAAAUUUCGAUGUUUAUGAAAAACCCAAGUUGCACCUAAAAUAUUUUUAGUACUUAUGCCACUACCGCAAUUAACUUGGCACCUAAUAUAAAAUCAUUUGUAAUUGUUUAUUAUUUUAUAAUCAUUUAACUAAUUGUUUUUGCUACUAUUUUAUUUAUUUUGAGUAUUUACAUAUUUUAUACAAGUGUGGUUUCUCCACCAUAAUUACCUACGCAUUAUUUGGCACAACCAGAACAUUUUAGUUUUAUUAUUUGAAAACUUUUGUUGUUUGCCUAUAUUUUAAAUUUGAAUUUGAAUCGUUUUGAACUAACACGAGUUUACCAAAAGUAACCGAGGUGACGUGGCAUCAUUAGCGCAGGGUUACUGUAGCUUGAUUACCCGGGCGUCACACUAGGCCUCUUUGCUUUGUUGGGGAGACUUGACUUCUUAAAUUCAACAUGCAUGUCCCCAGGUUGGGGCAAUGGAACUUCAUCCUCCUUUGAGCUCGUUUCCUCCUUCUUCUAAGGAUCAAACUUCUUCCUCCGAAGUCCAGCCAUAGUGCUCCACAUCCCCAUAGACCUUGGAGUUUGCAAUAUAAUCUGCAACAUAGCUCUCGCCUGCCGAGUCUUGGGACGACAUAACUCUAGAUCUGUUAGGAAAUCGGAGAGAAAAGAAAACAGGAGAUUUCUUCGUGAUACGGAGGUUAACAGGUUCGGGAGGUAUAUAUAUAUAUAUAUAUAUAUAGACGGUCUAUUCUGCUAAUAUUAGCAGAAUAACUAUUCUGCACACCACUUCGGCACUGCACGCUCAACAGAAGCGCACUGCAUCAUUUUGACGACGAGCACUGCAAUAGAGACUAGUGAACUUCGCGUCAAAAAAUUGCAUGCAGUGUUUUUCUGGUACUGUUUUCGUUCUAGUUUUUUAACCGUUUAUUGGAACGAGGCGUAUAAUAUACCGUUGGAAAGCUAUGGAUUAGGCGCAACUUCGUCAUGUUGAACAUUUUUCGAGAUUCCUUGCGGUUUAAGAGCAGUUUCAAAAACGACGCGGCGGACGACGAGUGGCAUCGAGCGUUUUUUCGCGUUUUUUUCUAAACUGCUUGUCGGAAUGAAGCAAAUGAUACGCCGUUGGAUAGAUAUCAUCGAGGCGCAUAUUUGUCAUAUAUAAAUAUUUCUCUAAUUCGUUACGGUUUAAGAGCAGUUUCAAAUUUACUAAAUCGCGGAAUUUUGUUUUUAAGUUUUUUUAAAAAAAUGGUACUGUUUUCGCUCCAAUUUUUGAACCGUUUGUCGAAACGAGGCGUCCGAUACGCCGUUGGAAAGCUACGAACAAGGCGCAACUUUCAUAUGUUGAAUUAUUUUUGAGAUUCCUUACGAUUUUAAGUUAAUUUUGAAAAUUGUGCGGUGGACAACGAGUGGCGGCGGCCGUUUUUCGUGAAAUUUUUGCAAACCGCUGGUCGGAAUAAUUCAAACGAUACGCUGUUAGAAAGAUAUCGAUGAUACACAACUCUUUCAUGUAGAACACUCUCUCUAAUUCUUUACGGUUUAAGAGGAAUUUUGAAUUACCGAAAUGCGGACACUGUUUUUCGCGAUACCCAAAUCUUACGUGCGUAUUUCAUCUGACUGAAAACCGCACUGCAUCGGAUGAAAAACUGCACUGCAUCAGACGGGUAAGAGAACUGCAUGGUUUCUUUUAUUCAAACAUAAUUUUUUCAAGGAUGAGAAAGUAGAAUGCACUUCACAAUGGUAGUGAGUGAACGGCAACACUAUCAAGAAGUGAACCUCGUUACUUUUUUUAUUUUGCAUUUUUACUUUGGGUCCAAGUGAACCACAACGCUCUUGAAAAUGAGCCACAAGCAUUCUCAAACGUGAACCGCACCACUCUAUUCAAACACAUUUUUUUUUAAAUGAAGUGUACUUCAAAGUCCUUCGGAGUGGACUUUUUUAAAGAUCGGAGUGCACUACAUUUUUUUCUUUUUUCUCUCUAGAGUUUUGGUUUUCCCCUAGUGCACUGCAUAUAUAUUUUUGGGUUAAUAAUGAAAUAUGCACUGCGGGGACGAGGCGAGUGGACUGCAUCAGGGCAACCAUGAACCUCAUUGCUUUUUUGUUUUGCGAAGUGCACCGCCAUGGUUUUCUUAAUAAACUGCAUCCAUGUCCAUACAAAUUUGCCAAUGUUUUUGCUGCAAAUCCUGAGUGCAAUCAAAUUGCGCCAAACAAAGAACUUCAACCUCUUUUCUCAAAUCCUGGAUGCAAUCGAACCACGUCUAAAUAAGGAGUGGUUUUUUAUCAUUUUUUUUUCUUUUCUCUCUUUUUUUCACAGAGCAAACCACAGAGCUAUUUACAAUGAACUGCAUUCAUCAUAAAAAAGAAUACAAACAUUCCACUGCAAAUUUAUACUACAUAGCAAGCACCACAAACUACGCGUAACACUAGUCAACUGCACUACGCCAAGCAAGAUGUGCUGCUUGCUGUACAUAUAUAAGAACGAAAGCUAGUACUGAACAUAAUUGCAUUGUCACUUCUUUUGUACUAUCACUGAAACAGAUAGUAAAAUUUCUAUUCAGAUCAUCUACAGUCAGAUAGCAAAAAAAAUUGUACUGUGUAAGCCAGUACUGAAGAUAGCAAAUUUUCCUUCAGUUGGUCUACAGUCAAAUAGCAAAUCAGAUAGCAAAAAAAUUGUACUUUGUAAGCCAGCACUAAAUGAAAUUGCUUAAAAACACCUAGUAUUGGACAAAAUGAGUUGCUUACAAACAAGCAGUAACAAUGUAACAUACAAGUUUUUGAACUCCACAAACAUUUCUAAAUUAUUCAAUUUUCUGAACAUACAAAUAUGUCUGGACAUACUGGCACAUCUUUCUCAAUAGACUGAUACAUCUCUCUAAAUCUUUCCAAUUUCAUAUGAAUUUCUUCUACUUCUGUCGCGUGCCCAUCUCCACAUCUAUAGCCUUGUUCAUGCGAGCUUCAACUUGGAUUCGAGAUUCCUCCAACUGUUUCUUCUCUGUUUUCAGACAAUACAUAGUAUCACGCAAUUUAUUGAGCAGCGAAUUCAGAAAUGAAGUAUUUGGAUCAUCAUGCCACUCAAAGAACCUGCACUCCACACCCUGACAUUGCAUUGAACUCAGCAAACAUUGCAUUAAACCUGCAGUCCACAAACUAUGCCGGAGAUCAAGGUGUUGCUGUCGUCGUCGCUGGUGCGCCCAUGACCUCCACCAACACGAGCACGGAACUACAUGUCCACUGUGGCUGGACUGCACCACAGACACCCAGACUGAGCUCAAGGUGAGGCAUCUCGAAACAUAGGUAGUUGUCGUCGGGAUGAGAGGUGGUGGUAGCUCGGACUAGUAGCAGCCCCGUCAGGCGCGCGCCCAUGAGCGACAAAAGAG
rnacentral:lncRNA from 1 species